GGGGGGGGGGGGGGGGGGGCGGAGGACGGGGGGGGGGGGCGGAAGGGCCCUGCUGGGGGGGGGUGCUCGAGUGGCGAGCGGGUGAGUAACAAGUGAGUAACCUGCCCUUGACUGUGGGAGAACUUCAGGAAACUGGGGCUAAUACAGGAUAGGAGCUCCUGCUGCAUGGGGGGGGUUGGAAAGUUUCGGCGGUUGGGGAUGGACUCGCGGCUUAUCAGCUUGUUGGUGGGGUAGUGGCUUACCAAGGCUUUGACGGGUAGCCGGCCUGAGAGGGUGACCGGCCACAUUGGGACUGAGAUACGGCCCAGACUCCUACGGGAGGCAGCAGUGGGGAAUAUUGCACAAUAGGCGGAAGCCUGAUGCAGCAACGCCGCGUGCGGGAUGACGGCCUUCGGGUUGUAAACCGCUUUCGCCUGUGACGAAGUGUGAGUGACGGUAAUGGGUAAAGAAGCACCGGCUAACUACGUG
rnacentral:rRNA from 1 species